AAUAAUUUAUUACUAAAAACUCAUAUAAUCUGAAGAAUAUGGCUAUGGGAAGUUUCUACCGUGUUGCCUUAAACGACACGACUAUGAGUAAAUGAAUAACACUG
rnacentral:ncRNA from 2 species